rnacentral:rRNA from 1 species
AUUGAACGCUGGCGGCAGGCCUAACACAUGCAAGUCGAACGAGUGGCGGACGGGUGAGUAAUGUCUGGGAAACUGCAUGAUGGAGGGGGAUAACUACUGGAAACGGUAGCUAAUACCGCAUACCCUCAGAUGUGCCCAGAUGAGUCUAGCUAGUUGGUGGGGUAACGGCUCACCAAGGCGACGAUCCCUCGCUGGUCUGAGAGGAUGACCAGCGAAACUGGAACUGAGAAACGGUCCAGACUCCGACGGGAGGCAGAAGUGGGGAAUAUUGCACAAUGGGCGCAAGCCUGAUGCAGCCAUGCCGCGUGUAGGAAGAAGGCCGUCGGGUUGUAAAGUACUUUCAGCGGGGAGGCGUUACCCGCAGAAGAAGCACCGGCUAACUCCGUGCCAGCAGCCGCGGUAAUUC